rnacentral:rRNA from 1 species
GAUGAACGCUGGCGGCGUGCCUAAUACAUGCAAGUCGAACGAAACUUCUUUAUCACCGAGUGCUUGCACUCACCGAUAAAGAGUUGAGUGGCGAACGGGUGAGUAACACGUGGGCAACCUGCCCAAAAGAGGGGGAUAACACUUGGAAACAGGUGCUAAUACCGCAUAACCAUAGUUACCGCAUGGUAACUAUGUAAAAGGUGGCUAUACUACCGCUUUUGGAUGGGCCCGCGGCGCAUUAGCUAGUUGGUAGGGUAAGGCUUACCAAGGCAAUGAUGCGUAGCCGAAUUGAGAGGUUGAUCGGCCACAUUGGGACUGAGACACGGCCCAAACUCCUACGGGAGGCAGCAGUAGGGAAUCUUCCACAAUGGGCGAAAGCCUGAUGGAGCAACGCCGCGUGGGUGAAGAAGGUCUUCGGAUCGUAAAACCCUGUUGUUAGAGAAGAAAGUGCGUGAGAGUAACUGUUCACGUUUCGACGGUAUCUAACCAGAAAGCCACGGCUAACUACGUG